ACGGAAGGCAGCAGCUAAGAAUAUUCCGCAAUGGACGAGAGUCUGACGGAGCGACGUCGCGUGGAUGAUGAAGGCCGGAAGGUUGUAAAAUCCUUUUAUAACUGAGGAAUAAGUAAGGUGAGAGAAACGCCUUAUGGUGACUGUAGGUUAUGAAUAAGCAACGGCUAAUUACGUGCCAGCAGCCGCGGUAACACGUAAGUUGCGAGCGUUGUUCGGAAUUAUUGGGCGUAAAGGGCAUGUAGGCGGUUUUGCAAGCUUGGUGUGAAAUCCCGGAGCUUAACUCCGGAAUUGCGUUGAGAACUGCAUAACUAGAGUCACUGAGGGGCAAUCAGAAUUCCAGGUGUAGGGGUGAAAUCUGUAGAUAUCUGGAAGAAUACCAAUGGCGAAGGCAGGUUACCAGCAGAUGACUGACGCUGAGGUGCGAAGGUGCGGGGAGCAAACAGGAUUAGAUACCCUGGUA
rnacentral:rRNA from 1 species